rnacentral:miRNA from 1 species
UCACGCGGGGGAACGAGGAAGA